rnacentral:rRNA from 1 species
GACGAACGCUGGCGGCGUGCUUAACACAUGCAAGUCGAACGGUAAGGCCCUUUCGGGGGUACACGAGUGGCGAACGGGUGAGUAACACGUGAGGAACCUGCCCUUGACUCUGGGAUAACAGUGGGAAACUUCUGCUAAUACCGGAUAUUCAGAUUCUGCCGCAUGGUGGGGUUUGGAAAGCUUUUGUGGUCAAGGAUGGUCUCGCGGCCUAUCAGCGUGUUGGUGAGGUAAUGGCUCACCAAGGCGUCGACGGGUAGCCGGCCUGAGAGGGCGACCGGCCACAGUAGGACUGAGAUACGGCCCAGACUCCUACGGGAGGCAGCAGUAGGGAAUAUUGCACAAUGGGCGGAAGCCUGAUGCAGCAACGCCGCGUGCGGGAUGACGGCCUUCGGGUUGUAAACCGCUUUCAGUAGGGACGAAGCGCAAGUGACGGUACCUACAGAAGAAGCACCGGCUAACUACGUGCCAGCCGCCGCGGUAAUAC